GGGGCCCACAGUGGGCCCGCCCCCCGAGGGGAGGGCCGGGAAGGCCGAGACCUUGUGAGCCUGGGAAUCCCGGCUCUGCCGCCUGCCAUGUUUCCUUAGGCAAGUCUGUUUCCGUCUCCGUGCCCCAGCUUCCCCAAUAGUAAAGAGAGAUCCCCUUCCGAGGAGAAGGAAGAGGCUGGCAGAGUGGGAAAGACUGAGGUAUAAGGAAAGCGAUCAGAAGCAAAGGACCUGUGAUCUUGUUUGCAAGCACAGUGCUUGUCCCUGAUACCCCAUGGGUGAACAUGUAUGGACUCCUCGCACACAAUGUAUGGACUUCAAUGCUCGAGGGACACGUGUCAUCUCCUGUAAUACCCAGACAGCCUCCAACCUCUUUGUCAUUUUAAGGCAGACCAGACUAUGGAAAUGAUGUUAGACAAAAAGCAAAUCUGAGCAAUUUUCUUACUUGAAUACAAAAUGGGUCGUAAAGCAGCAGAGACAAUUGGCAACAUCAACAACACAUCUGGCCCAGGAAUGCACAGUGCAAUGGUGAUUCAAGAAGUUUUGCAAAGGAGAUGAGAGGCUUGAAGAUGAGGAGUGCAGUGGCUGGCCAUCGGAAGGUGACAACAACCAAUUGAGAGCAGUCACUGAGGCUGAUCCUCUUACAACUACACCAAAAGUUGCCAAAGAACUCAGUGUCAGCUAUUCUACAGUUGUUCGGCAUUUAAAGUAAAUUGGAAAGGUGAAAAGGCUUGGUAAGUGGGUGCCUCAUGAGCUGACUGCAAAUCAAAAAUAUCGUCAUGUUGAAGUGUCAUCUUUUCUUAUUCUAUGCAACAACAACCAACCAUUUCUCAAUUGGGAUUGUGACCUGCAAUGAAAAGUGAACUGCAUACAACAACCAGCAAUGACCAGCUCAGUGGUUGGAGUGAGAAGAAGCUCCAAAGCACUUACCAAAGCCAAACUUGCGCCAAAAAAAGGUCAUGGUCACUGUUUGGUGGCCUGCUGCUGGUCUGAUCCACUGCAGCUUUCUGAAUCCUGGUGAAACCAUUAUAUCUGAGAAGUAUGCUCAGCAAAUCAGUGAAAUCACCAAAAACUGCAGCCGGUAUCAGUCAACAGAAAGGGCCUGACGAAAGGUCGCACAACCAAAAGUUGAAGGAAUCGGGCUACGAUGUUUCGCCUCAUCCGCCAUAUUCACCUGACCUCGGCCAACCAACUACUACUUCUUCAAUCAUCUUGACAACUUUUUGCAGGAAAAACACUUCCACAACCAGCAGGAUACAGAAAAUGCUUUCCAAGAGUUCGUUGAUUUCUGAAGCAUUGAUUUUUAUGCUACAGGAGUAAGCAAACUUAUUUCUAGUUGGCAAAAAUGUGUUGAUUGUAAAGGUUCCUGUUUUGAUUAAUAAAGAUGUGUUUGAGCCUAGUUAUAAUGACUUAAAAUUCGUUGUCCAUAACUGCAAUUAUUUUUGCACCACGUAAAUAUCAUUUUUGUUGUUCAGUCCCUAAGUUGUGUCCAACUCUUUGCGACCUCACUGACUGCAGUAUGCCAGGCUCUCCCAUCACCCACUCUCCUACAGUUUGCUCACAUUCAAGUCAGUGAUGCUGUCUAACCAUCUCAUCCUCUGCCAACCCCUUCUCUGUUUGCCUUUAGUCUUUACCAGCAUCUAAUGAGUUGACUCUUCACAUCCCAACUAAAGUAUUGAAGCUUCAGCUUCAGGUUGGCAAAGUACUGAAGCUUCAGCUUCAGCAUCAGUCCUUCCAAUGAACUAUCAUUUUAACCAGCCUUAAUACAUGAAAUACAUUAUUAUGAAAAAGCAAAUCAUGUAGAGGUACAUGUCAGAGAAAGAGGAAGGUCCACUUUCAACC
ensembl:lncRNA